rnacentral:lncRNA from 1 species
UUGGAAAAAUGGAGGUUGGAAGAAAAUGGAGAUUUUGGGGUUUUACCUCUAAAAAAAAUGGAGGUUGUGGGAUUUGCUUGGAAAAAAAAAUGGAGGUUGGACAAAAAAUGGAGGUUUUGGGGUUUUUCCUUGGAAAAAUGGAGGUUGGAAGAAAAUGGAGGUUGGACAAAAAAUGGAGGUUGGACAAAAAAUGGAGGUUCUGGGGUUUUCCUUGGAAAAAUGGAGGUUGGAAGAAAUGGAGGUUGGGAAAAAAAAUGGAGGUUUUGGGGUUUUUUUUUGGAAAAAAUGGAGGUUAGAAAAAAUAGAGGUUUUGGGAAUUUUCCUAGGAAAAAAAAUGGAGGUUUUGGGGUUUGCUUGGAAAAAAAAAAUGGAGGUUUUCCUUGGAAAAAUGGAGGUUGGAAAAAAUGGAGAUUGGAAGAAAUUGAGGCUGGAAAAAAAUGGAGGUUUGGGGGGUUUUCCUUGGAAAAAUGGAGGUUGGAAAA